UAUAUUUUGGUGUAUGAUGCACAAAAGUUUUUGAUGUUUUUGGAAAUAGUUUAAUUCUAUUAAGUAUAA
rnacentral:tRNA from 1 species